UACAGAGGGGGCAAGCGUUAAUCGGAAUUACUGGGCGUAAAGCGUGCGCAGGCGGUUUUGUAAGUCUGUCGUGAAAGCCCCGGGCUCAACCUGGGAAUUGCGAUGGAGACUGCAAGGCUUGAAUCUGGCAGAGGGGGGUAGAAUUCCACGUGUAGCAGUGAAAUGCGUAGAGAUGUGGAGGAACACCGAUGGCGAAGGCAGCCCCCUGGGUCAAGAUUGACGCUCAUGCACGAAAGCGUGGGGAGCAAACAGG
rnacentral:rRNA from 1 species